UGGGGAAUUUUGGACAAUGGGCGCAAGCCUGAUCCAGCCAUGCCACGUGCGGGAAGAAGGCCUUCGGGUUGUAAACCGCUUUUGUCAGGGAAGAAAUCUUCUGAGUUAAUACCUCGGGAGGAUGACGGUACCUGAAGAAUAAGCACCGGCUAACUACGUGCCAGCAGCCGCGGUAAUACGUAGGGUGCAAGCGUUAAUCGGAAUUACUGGGCGUAAAGCGUGCGCAGGCGGUUUUGUAAGACAGAGGUGAAAUCCCCGGGCUCAACCUGGGAACUGCCUUUGUGACUGCAAGGCUUGAGUGCGGCAGAGGGGGAUGGAAUUCCGCGUGUAGCAGUGAAAUGCGUAGAUAUGCGGAGGAACACCGAUGGCGAAGGCAAUCCCCUGGGCCUGCACUGACGCUCAUGCACGAAAGCGUGGGGAGCAAAACAGGAUUAGAUACCCUGGUAGUCCACGCCCUAAACGAUGUCAACUGGUUGUUGGGAAGGUUCCUUCUCAGUAACGUAGCUAACGCGUGAAGUUGACCGCCUGGGGAGUACGGCCGC
rnacentral:rRNA from 1 species